rnacentral:tRNA from 1 species
UGGGAUAGCUAAACGGUGAAGCAUACUGCUUUACCGGUCUUUGAUAUCGGCAUUCUCUGGUUCGAAUCCAGAUACCCCAUCCA